AACAACAACAAAAAACCCAGUGUAAUCCCACAAGUGGGGUUCAAUAAAAGCAAAGACAGAGCAUUGUUAAAAAGAAAUAAAAUGAUGGAUACAAUUUCAAUGAAUUUAUACAUAUUCAAUAAAUUUCUUAAGACAAGGUUUGGACCAAAGCUACUAGGAGCAACCAAACAGGGCUAGCUCCGCCCCCUGCACACACACACACAUACAAGUGCGCACUCGCACAAACAACAAUAUAUACAUGUACAAUCUCUUAACAGAAUUUAAUAACACAAAGCAAAUCGGAACUAACCUGAAGCUCGCCUAUCACAUCAGAUAAUUUACCGUUUUUGAAAAGCAAAGUACCUGUAUACCCUAAUAUGCACACAACACACAUAUAUUAUCAGAUCAAAUUACUAAAAUCAAUCACAAACAAAAUUAGCAAAAGUCUCAACAAAAAACAAAUAGCCGAAGAACAAGAGUGUGUGUGCGUGUGUGUGUAUACCAGCUCCGACGAUAAAUACGAUCUUAGUUAAGCCUACUCCAGCUUGCAUAGCCAUGGCCGGCGAUGGUCCGGUGAUCAACAAAUCCUCGGUCUUUUUAUGACUCUCCGGCGAGUGAUUUCGGAGUUCAAAUGCAAAAAGUGUGAAUAUGGAGCUAUAUCUGGUAUUUAUAUGCCUAUAUUACCCUUUCGCGACUUGUGUGAA
rnacentral:lncRNA from 1 species